UACGGGAGGCAGCAGUGGGGAAUAUUGCACAAUGGGCGCAAGCCUGAUGCAGCCAUGCCGCGUGUAUGAAGAAGGCCUUCGGGUUGUAAAGUACUUUCAGUCGUGAGGAAGGUGUUAAGGUUAAUAACCUUAGCAAUUGACGUUAGCGACAGAAGAAGCACCGGCUAACUCCGUGCCAGCAGCCGCGGUAAUACGGAGGGUGCGAGCGUUAAUCGGAAUUACUGGGCGUAAAGGGCACGCAGGCGGUUAAUUAAGUUGGAUGUGAAAUCCCCGGGCUUAACCUGGGAAUGGCAUUCAAGACUGGUUAGCUAGAGUCUUGUAGAGGGGGUAGAAUUCCAUGUGUAGCGGUGAAAUGCGUAGAGAUGUGGAGGAAUACCGGUGGCGAAGGCGGCCCCUGGACAAAGACUGACGCUCAUGUGCGAAAGCGUGGGGAGCAAACAGGAUUAGAUAC
rnacentral:rRNA from 1 species